rnacentral:tRNA from 1 species
GCCUGGCUGGCUCAGUCAGUAGAGCAUGCAACUCUUGAUCUUAGGGUCAUGAGUUCAAGUCCCAUGUUAGGCA